GACCCACUAGCUCAGUAGGUAGAGCACCUGACUUUUAAUCAGGGUGUCGAUGGUUCGAGUCCAUCGUGGGUCACCA
rnacentral:tRNA from 1 species